rnacentral:rRNA from 1 species
UGACCUCAAAUCAGGUAGGACUACCCGCUGAACUUAAGCAUAUCAAUAAGCGGAGGAAAAGAAACUAACAAGGAUUCCCCUAGUAACUGCGAGUGAAGCGGGAAAAGCUCAAAUUUAAAAUCUGGCAGUCUCUGGCUGUCCGAGUGUAAUC